CCAUUUCAUAAAUUUGUGAUUUAAAAUGCACUCACAAACAACCAUCUUUACCGCUCACAAAUAAGCCAGGCACCAACAAUCUUAAGACAAUAAUUUAUCAAUGGUUGUUUGGCGUUCUAAUCAAGUUUUGUUUGUUGUGCAGUUUAUAUUUUAGUUCUUGUUGGAAUAUGAUUCUAGAAAAUCAGUGUGUUGGUUUCUCUAUUGCCGAUGGAAGACCAUGAUGAAACUAUAAGCCACUUUAAGAAAUUACUUUGGCNUAACGCAUUUUUGGAACACACUUGAUAGGUCCAUAGUUGGAUCAUUCAACUUAUAUGAUCCCGAAGAAGAGCCACUUGAUUCACCACCUCAUCGUCAUACGGCAAAACAUCAGAGCACUUGAAAUGCCUACAGUCACGAGUACAGCAAUGGAACAGCCGUCCUUUGUUUUAACUAUUUUUUUCCACCUCCAUCCACUUCAUAAACCCCUCGCCACGUUUCGGCAUCUUUUCUUUCUCGAACAUUCCGACGAAUGACCUGGCUUUUUGCAGCUAUGGCAUAUACAUCUGUUCCUUCCUGCAAUGGAGCAAACUCUAGCUCACAGUGCAAUUCAAGAAGCUUAAAGUCAGAAUUUGAUCUCCAUAAAAUAUUGUACAAGUGCAAUUGAACACAAAAAGUCUUGACCAUUCUCUGGAAUAUAACACAGUUGAACACUAAAUUAUUUUCAAUUCAACACGACAUUAUUUUCAAUUGAACAUUCUAAACAUUUACAUAGCUUCAAUUGUAAAUCAUUUAGAAGAUUUAUGGUCAUAUUUCUUUAAUCUAGACUGACGAGUAUAGUAAACUAGUACUUCACUAGCAAUUGAGUGAAUUCGUAAAUUCUAUUUCAAAUUUCUGUGAACUAUAGAUAUUCAUGCUCAAUCAUGUAUAUCAAGACUUAUUACUUUACUUUACUUGUCAUAAUAUUACUUAUAGAUUGUUGUUAACGUUACUCGCCGUUAUUAAGCUUAAUUGUUACUUUUAAAACUUGAGAAUUUGUUUUGAGAGUCUUAGAACUCUUUCAUGAAUGCUAAAUAUACCAGUUUUCCUAGUCCCUUAGAUAAACAACUCUAGACACAAUUUAAGCUCUCCAACAAAGAGUUUUGCAUCCUAUGAUCAAAGCAUUUCCAACUGAAAUCAUAAACUGGAAAUUAUACAUACCGUACAAUUGAUUUAGAGAAUAUCAGACGCCAGCGGUUUGAAAAAGUUGAGGUCGUAGCACCAACGGUUAGUAGAGACGGCAGCCCCGGCGGUUUAGAAACUUUCAGACGGCUACCUCGGCGGUUUGGAAAUUUUCAGAUUCAAAAGCUUGGAAAUUUUCAUAUAAUGAGAGAAACCUUUUCCCCGUCGAUUUGAGAGCUUUUCAUAUAAAUGUGACUUGUUGGGGAUGAGUAGGUGGGUAAUAAAUGAUGGGAGAGAAAAAGAAAGUGGGUUUGGUGAAUAAUAAAUGUUGGGAGACAAACCAAGUGGUAUGACUGUUUGACCCUUUUUUUUUUGAAUUCAAUAUAUCACCAGGUGUCAAUUCGGUACAAGAAUCUGGCAAGAGUGAUGUACAUAUAGAAUUUUUCUUUUCUAGAUAUACAUCGCCUAAUGUACAUAAAGGAAAAAGGAAAGGGUCAUGUACAUAUAGAGUUUUCCUUUUUUUUUUUGAAUUCAAU
rnacentral:lncRNA from 1 species